rnacentral:rRNA from 1 species
UCGAGAGGCUUCGGCAAUGGGGGAAACCCUGACCGAGCGACGCCGCGUGAGGGAUGAAGGCCCUUGGGUUGUAAACCUCUUUUGUUCGGGAAGAAAUGUGAUCAGGUUAAUAAUCUGGUUACUUGACGGUACCGGACGAAUAAGCUCCGGCUAACUCCGUGCCAGCAGCCGCGGUAAUACGGGGGGAGCAAGCGUUGUUCGGAAUCACUGGGCGUAAAGGGCGUGUAGGCGGCUAGGUAAGUGGGACGUGAAAUGCCUCGGCUCACCCGAGGACCGGCGUCCCAAACUGCCUGGCUUGAGUAUGGGAGAGGAUGUGGGAAUUCCUGGUGUAGCGGUGAAAUGCGUAGAUAUCAGGAGGAACACCGGUGGCGAAGGCGCACAUCUGGCCCAAUACUGACGCUGAGGCGCGAAAGCUAGGGGAGCAAACGGG